rnacentral:rRNA from 1 species
GCUAGCUACAGGCUUAACACAUGCAAGUCGAGGGGCAGCAUGGUCUUAGCUUGCUAAGACUGAUGGCGACCGGCGCACGGGUGAGUAACACGUAUCCAACCUGCCGUCUACUCUUGGACAGCCUUCUGAAAGGAAGAUUAAUACAAGAUGGCAUCAUGAGUCCGCAUGUUCACAUGAUUAAAGGUAUUCCGGUAGACGAUGGGGAUGCGUUCCAUUAGAUAGUAGGCGGGGUAACGGCCCACCUAGUCUUCGAUGGAUAGGGGUUCUGAGAGGAAGGUCCCCCACAUUGGAACUGAGACACGGUCCAAACUCCUACGGGAGGCAGCAGUGAGGAAUAUUGGUCAAUGGGCGAGAGCCUGAACCAGCCAAGUAGCGUGAAGGAUGACUGCCCUAUGGGUUGUAAACUUCUUUUAUAAAGGAAUAAAGUCGGGUAUGCAUACCCGUUUGCAUGUACUUUAUGAAUAAGGAUCGGCUAACUCCGUGCCAGCAGCCGCGGUAAUACGGAGGAUCCGAGCGUUAUCCGGAUUUAUUGGGUUUAAAGGGAGCGUAGAUGGAUGUUUAAGUCAGUUGUGAAAGUUUGCGGCUCAACCGUAAAAUUGCAGUUGAUACUGGAUAUCUUGAGUGCAGUUGAGGCAGGCGGAAUUCGUGGUGUAGCGGUGAAAUGCUUAGAUAUCACGAAGAACUCCGAUUGCGAAGGCAGCCUGCUAAGCUGCAACUGACAUUGAGGCUCGAAAGUGUGGGUAUCAAACAGGAUUAGAUACCCUGGUAGUCCACACGGUAAACGAUGAAUACUCGCUGUUUGCGAUAUACUGCAAGCGGCCAAGCGAAAGCGUUAAGUAUUCCACCUGGGGAGUACGCCGGCAACGGUGAAACUCAAAGGAAUUGACGGGGGCCCGCACAAGCGGAGGAACAUGUGGUUUAAUUCGAUGAUACGCGAGGAACCUUACCCGGGCUUAAAUUGCAGAUGAAUUACGGUGAAAGCCGUAAGCCGCAAGGCAUCUGUGAAGGUGCUGCAUGGUUGUCGUCAGCUCGUGCCGUGAGGUGUCGGCUUAAGUGCCAUAACGAGCGCAACCCUUGUUGUCAGUUACUAACAGGUUCCGCUGAGGACUCUGACAAGACUGCCAUCGUAAGAUGUGAGGAAGGUGGGGAUGACGUCAAAUCAGCACGGCCCUUACGUCCGGGGCUACACACGUGUUACAAUGGGGGGUACAGAGGGCCGCUACCACGCGAGUGGAUGCCAAUCCCCAAAACCUCUCUCAGUUCGGACUGGAGUCUGCAACCCGACUCCACGAAGCUGGAUUCGCUAGUAAUCGCGCAUCAGCCACGGCGCGGUGAAUACGUUCCCGGGCCUUGUACACACCGCCCGUCGAGCCAUGGGAGCCGGGGGUACCUGAAGUGCGUAACCGCGAGGAGCGCCCUAGGGUAAAACUGAUGAC